UACGAAGGGUGCAAGCGUUACUCGGAAUUACUGGGCGUAAAGCGUGCGUAGGUGGUUUGUUAAGUCUGAUGUGAAAGCCCUGGGCUCAACCUGGGAAUUGCAUUGGAUACUGGCAGGCUAGAGUGCGGUAGAGGAUGGCGGAAUUCCCGGUGUAGCAGUGAAAUGCGUAGAGAUCGGGAGGAGCAUCUGUGGCGAAGGCGGCCAUCUGGACCAGCACUGACACUGAGGCACGAAAGCGUGGGGAGCAAACAGG
rnacentral:rRNA from 1 species